ACCCAAUGCCAUGUUCCCUGUAGCAGAGAAGGUGGAUUGCAUUGACUGGUGAUGCUGCGAUCCGAGGCACAUCAAAUACUAGUUUCACAUGGUGAUAGGAACCUGUGGGUCUCUAGUUUUAUCCAUGGAGCCAUUUGCUGCGAUUACACUU